AUCAGCCUACGGGACGCAGCAGUGGGGAAUAUUGCACAAUGGGGGAAACCCUGAUGCAGCAAUGCCGCGUGAAGGAAGACGGUUUUCGGAUUGUAAACUUCUUUUCUUAGUGAAGAAGCAAGUGACGGUAGCUAAGGAAUAAGCAUCGGCUAACUACGUGCCAGCAGCCGCGGUAAUACGUAGGUGGCAAGCGUUAUCCGGAUUUAUUGGGUGUAAAGGGCGUGUAGGCGGGAAUGCAAGUCAGAUGUGAAAACUAUGGGCUCAACCCAUAGCCUGCAUUUGAAACUGUAUUUCUUGAGUGCUGG
rnacentral:rRNA from 1 species